rnacentral:rRNA from 1 species
AUACGUAGGGGGCGAGCGUUGUCCGGAAUGAUUGGGCGUAAAGGGCGCGUAGGCGGCCCGGUAAGUCUGGAGUGAAAGUCCUGCUUUUAAGGUGGGAAUUGCUUUGGAUACUGUUGGGCUUGAGUGCAGGAGAGGUUAUCGGAAUUCCCGGUGUAGCGGUGAAAUGCGUAGAGAUCGGGAGGAACACCAGUGGCGAAGGCGGGUAACUGGACUGCAACUGACGCUGAGGCGCGAAAGUGUGGGGAGCAAACAGGAUUAGAUACCCUGGUAGUCCACACUGUAAACGAUGAAUGCUAGGUGUAAGAGGUAUCGACCCCUUUUGUGCCGGAGUUAACACAAUAAGCAUUCCGCCUGGGGAGUACGGCCGCAAGGUUGAAACUCAAAGGAAUUGGCGGGG